rnacentral:rRNA from 1 species
AACGAACGCUGGCGGCAGGCUUAACACAUGCAAGUUGAACGUGAUUUAUUGGUGCUUGCACUAAUGAUGAAAGUAGCGCACGGGUGAGUAACACGUGGGAACGUACCUUGAAGAGGGGGACAACAGUUGGAAACGACUGCUAAUACCGCAUAAUGCUUUUGAGCGGCAUCGCUUGAAAGCCAAAGAUUUAUCGCUGAAAGAUGGUCUCGCGUCUGAUUAGCUAGUUGGUGAGGUAACGGCUCACCAAGGCGACGAUCAGUAGCCGGACUGAGAGGUUGAACGGCCACAUUGGGACUGAGACACGGCCCAG